UCUUUGCAGUUCUUUCUGACUGUAAUUGAACUAUCCCCUCCUGAUCCUUCAGGUGCUAUCAGCAUGGUUUUCUGCAGACUUCAAGAAAAAUCCCUGAAGGGCCGAAGACACUUUCCUGGUGUUACAAUCCUUAUUUCAAGUGAAGCUAACUGUUUGGCUCCUGAGAGUUUGGUGAUUUUUUUUUUUUUAACAAGUUUCAAGGAAAAGGCCAUCCCACACUGCUGUUCUCGCUCUUCCCACCCACAGACAAAAAUGGAGUAGAUCUUUCUGCUUAAUGAUUGCCAUGCUAAAGGAAACACAGAACACUCAGAAUGAUACAAAGUGACGGCAAGCACACAGUGAGUUUGCAUAAAGCACUCGGUGUCUCUGACAUAUGUAUUAUUCCUGUGUGACAAAGACUCAGAAACAUGAGGAGAUUUGUCAAGAUCCUGCAGCUGACUAGAGCACUGAAAGGAAGAAGCCAUCCUCCAGUCCCCAGCUCUGCUGGAAGCCGCACAGGAGGAGUGGGGACAUGUCUUUCCUGUGCCUCUGUCCGCAUACAUCAAAGGCUCUGCCAUGGAGACUGUCCAGGUUGUCCUCUGUGGAAAAGUGACUACUGGUCAUGUUGGCUGCCAGCCCUUAUCUCCCCUUUCCCCGCUGGGUUCCUCCUGGGCCUCCGAAGCUGGGUUUGCAUUCAGGCAUGGAAGAAGAGACCUGUCCUUUCUUCCCUGGUGUAAACCUAAGGGCUGUCUCCCUGGCUCUGUGACAGCCUGGUCUUAGCCAAGUGAUUGUGUCAAAACUGCUUAGUGGAGUUAGCAGACAACACAAGCCCUUCAUUUUGUUAUGCGCCUGAGGUCAUAAAAUGUACAUUUUAAUCUUGUUUUCUGAUAUUUUGUCUAGCCUAGAGGGGUGUGUGUGUGUGUGUGUGUGUGUGUGUGUGUGUGUUUUCCAGUCUUCCAUUUCUUCCAGUCUGAGUGGUAAUUUGGUUUGCACCAGGUACAUAUAGCUGCUGUUCUUAUUGUCCAUAUGCCCACCUCUGACAUCAAUUUUCUUCUCAGGUAAACAAGCUGGUUGGAAUACAGUAAAAAUAAGAGCAAUCUGACUAUAAAUGAGGGGCCAUGGCACUUCAUUGUGAGUCAAGUAAAUAAACUUAGCCAGACAUUAUUUUUGAGAUGUCUCUUCAGUUUUCAUCUGGUUCUUGGGUUGUUAUAUUCCGAAGAAUGGAUCAGUCAGACAUAUGAGAUACAGUUAAAGUAUGAGUGCACUUUUGAAUAUAUAGUUAAGCCUGUUUGCUUAAUGUUUGUAAAAACUCAAGAAACCAAUAUAUGGGGAAGGUGAGUUGAAGCCGAAGGAUCAGAGGACAACAGAUUUCACUUCCAUGAACAGUUUUUAGAGUAGAAUUUGUGGAACACAACUUGUCAGUUUCAUCUGUCUGUAAUAUCUAACAUUGAAAUGCAAUUGAAAUUGAGUUGGCUCUUUGGAAAGCUAUAUAGAGGCAAAAU